GUAAGAGUCUUGGAGGUAGAGCACUGAUUGGACUAGGGGUCCUCAUCGGAUUACCGAAUUCAGUCAAACUCCGAAUGCCAAUGACUUAUCCUUAGGAGUCAGACUGCGAGUGAUAAGAUCCGUAGUCAAAAGGGAAACAGCCCAGACCGCCAGCUAAGGUCCCAAAGUGUGUAUUAAGUGGAAAAGGAUGUGGAGUUGCUUAGACAACUAGGAUGUUGGCUUAGAAGCAGCCACCAUUUAAAGAGUGCGUAAUAGCUCACUAGUCGAGUGACUCUGCGCCGAAAAUGUACCGGGGCUAAAUACACCACCGAAGCUGCGGAUUGAUACCAAUGGUAUCAGUGGUAGGGGAGCGUUCUAAGGACAGUGAAGUCAGACCGGAAGGACUGGUGGAGUGCUUAGAAGUGAGAAUGCCGGUAUGAGUAGCGAAAGACGGGUGAGAAUCCCGUCCACCGAAUGCCUAAGGUUUCCUGAGGAAGGCUCGUCCGCUCAGGGUUAGUCAGGACCUAAGCCGAGGCCGACAGGCGUAGGCGAUGGACAACAGGUUGAUAUUCCUGUACCACCUCUUUAUCGUUUGAGCAAUGGAGGGACGCAGAAGGAUAGAAGAAGCGUGCGAUUGGUUGUGCACGUCCAAGCAGUUAGGCUGAUAAGUAGGCAAAUCCGCUUAUCGUGAAGGCUGAGCUGUGAUGGGGAAGCUCCUUAUGGAGCGAAGUCUUUGAUUCCCCGCUGCCAAGAAAAGCUUCUAGCGAGAUAAAAGGUGCCUGUACCGCAAACCGACACAGGUAGGCGAGGAGAGAAUCCUAAGGUGUGCGAGAGAACUCUGGUUAAGGAACUCGGCAAAAUGACCCCGUAACUUCGGGAGAAGGGGUGCUUUCUUAACGGAAAGCCGCAGUGAAUAGGCCCAAGCGACUGUUUAGCAAAAACACAGCUCUCUGCGAAGCCGUAAGGCGAAGUAUAGGGGGUGACACCUGCCCGGUGCUGGAAGGUUAAGGAGAGGGGUUAGCGUAAGCGAAGCUCUGAACUGAAGCCCCAGUAAACGGCGGCCGUAACUAUAACGGUCCUAAGGUAGCGAAAUUCCUUGUCGGGUAAGUUCCGACCCGCACGAAAGGUGUAACGAUUUGGGCACUGUCUCAACCAGAGACUCGGUGAAAUUAUAGUACCUGUGAAGAUGCAGGUUACCCGCGACAGGACGGAAAGACCCCGUGGAGCUUUACUGUAGCCUGAUAUUGAAUUUUGGUACAGUUUGUACAGGAUAGGCGGGAGCCUUUGAAACCGGAGCGCUAGCUUCGGUGGAGGCGCUGGUGGGAUACCGCCCUGACUGUAUUGAAAUUCUAACCUACGGGUCUUAUCGACCCGGGAGACAGUGUCAGGUGGGCAGUUUGACUGGGGCGGUCGCCUCCUAAAGUGUAACGGAGGCGCCCAAAGGUUCCCUCAGAAUGGUUGGAAAUCAUUCGUAGAGUGCAAAGGCAUAAGGGAGCUUGACUGCGAGACCUACAAGUCGAGCAGGGACGAAAGUCGGGCUUAGUGAUCCGGUGGUUCCGCAUGGAAGGGCCAUCGCUCAACGGAUAAAAGCUACCCCGGGGAUAACAGGCUUAUCUCCCCCAAGAGUCCACAUCGACGGGGAGGUUUGGCACCUCGAUGUCGGCUCAUCGCAUCCUGGGGCUGUAGUCGGUCCCAAGGGUUGGGCUGUUCGCCCAUUAAAGCGGUACGCGAGCUGGGUUCAGAACGUCGUGAGACAGUUCGGUCCCUAUCCGUCGUGGGCGUAGGAAAUUUGAGAGGAGCUGUCCUUAGUACGAGAGGACCGGGAUGGACGCACCGCUGGUGUACCAGUUGUUCUGCCAAGGGCAUAGCUGGGUAGCUAUGUGCGGAAGGGAUAAGUGCUGAAAGCAUCUAAGCAUGAAGCCCCCCUCAAGAUGAGAUUUCCCAUAGCGUAAGCUAGUAAGAUCCCUGAAAGAUGAUCAGGUUGAUAGGUUCGAGGUGGAAGCAUGGUGACAUGUGGAGCUGACGAAUACUAAUAGAUCGAGGACUUAACCAU
rnacentral:rRNA from 1 species